rnacentral:snRNA from 1 species
GUGCUCACUUUGGCAGCACAUAUAUUAAAACUGAAAUGAUACAGAGAAGACUAGCAUGGCCCCUGAGCAAGGAUGACACACAAAUACAUGAAACAUUCCAUAUUUUU